GGGAGGGUGGUUGGGUGGUUUUGGGUAUGUUUGAUCCACAAAUUUGGCUGCACAUGAUGACAUGAGAUGAUGCAUAUUUCCAAAUAGUGAAAUGAUAGAGGAACUCGCUACAUUGGUAAUCUAUGAAAAUAUGUUUUGGAUUUUGAUUAGUGAGAUUAAAUCAUUAAACUAGUGCAAAACAAAUCCAACUUGAAAUAUUGAGUUUGUAAGUACUAUAAGCUGAUAUGUACACU
rnacentral:misc_RNA from 1 species